rnacentral:lncRNA from 1 species
AUAUUUAGACAAUAUACGUAUAGUGUCUUGAAAUAUGAAAUUUAUUUGUAUGAGGCUUAGAAACGGGGGAAAUGCGAGGUUCUACCGAGUAUUUCCCCUGUUUCGUGCCGAAUACAAAUAAAUUUCAUAUUUCAAGACACUAUACGUAUAUUGUUUUUAUACUGAAAUCGAUAAAAAAAUAAAAAAAAAUAAAAAAAAAUAUGUAACAAACAUUGUUAAAAAAAAAGUAUUUGGAAUUUCCCUCUUGGGGUACCAUUUUGAGGUAUUUCCCUAUGGGCGUAGUCCCGGCGGUAAGACAUUGACAUUUUAAGGAAUUAGAAAGGGAAAAUGAACUUAAUUAAUAACAUUUAAUAAACAUGGUAUAUAAAUUACCAAUUUGAAGACAUAACAAGUUUAAAUUCAUAAAAGUUUGACCAUUGUUACUACACGUUGUCAUGGUUGUGACGUGACGUUGUUGAUGAAAUACAGUAGUUCCGGUAAGUAGGCGGGGCUUAUAGGUUAGUUGAGGUCAUUGACGUAUAAAGCUAACGUUUAUACGUAUAGCUUUAUCUGUAUAGUAAAAUAGCUGAUUGCAGUAUAAAAGUUGUUAU